CCACCCUCUUGCGGGCGAGCGCUGGCUACCAUUGGACUGUCCGGCGCGAGGGGAAGGGUGAUCUAUAAAUAGGGAAUGGGUACACGUGACAGUUUGGCAGCUGCUCCUACCCCUCCACCCCGCCCAACCUUCAGCUUCUGAGGCUGCGCAGGGGGAGAAAAGGGUUAGGGGGUCGAGCCCUGACUUCGCCUCCUCUUCCAAGAAGCCUUCCCAGACACUCAGCUGUAAAACCAGACGGACGUCCUCCGAUGAAAUUGUUUCUACUUAGGGCCGGCUUCACCGGCUUGGAAUCCACUUAGAAGGGUCUUCGCGCUUGGUUGAAUGUUCUGCAAUUUCUGUCUUGAAAUUUUUAGUUUUUGAGCAAGGGGCCCCUUAUUUUCACUUUGCACUAGGCCAAAUAUGUAGCCGGUCUUGCUGCUAAGAGUCUAAGAUCGAUUGCAUUCCAAAUUCUGGAAUUAUAAGACCCUGGGUGGAAGAUUCUAUGCUUUGACCAGAAGAGAGUCUAAGCAGCUUUUGUCUCCCAGGUGCUAGGAGGAUGUGUGCUCAUCAUUCUUCCAUUCCAGGGGCCUUUGUUCUACGUUCUAAGGGGCUUUGUUCUCAGCCUUCUAUGAUGCUCUAUUCUCAACGUUCUCUGGUCCUAGGAGUCUGAGCCUGACAUUCGUUUCCAAGGCUUCCUGCUGUCUCUCCAGGCUCCGCAAGCAGGGCUGGGGCACCCUCAGGCGGCCAAUCUGUAUCACUACGCCGAGCCUGCCUCUACCAACUUCCAAGACCUAGCUCUAAUAUUCAUACUCAUCUCUCAGACAGACCUUGGCUCCCUAAAAGCCAAGGCCCAGAAGAUCAUACAAGAAAUUCCCUCUUUUAUGAUUCCCCGUGCACGAAGUGACCUUCUGGUGGUGAGAUGGAGAGAAAUUGAUAGUGGCGAUAGACAGCAAAGUCUCCAGGAGCCAGACUUCCUCGGGGGCCCAUGCUCUUAGACCACCACCAAGACCUUGUCUUGUCCUGCACCGAGCAACCUCCGUGUCACCCUGCUCCACCUGCUCCAUGAAGCCGCACCCUCCAGAGAGGACCCUUCCCCUUUCCACCCUUCGCGGACCACUCAAUGAGCUACCCUGCACCUGACCCCUUCUGUCCAAGUCAUCACAGUAUUCCCAGAGCUGGAACAGUCAAUGCCUGGCACAUCGUGGGCACUCAACAUGUUGAAUCAAUGGUUACAAAUACAUGAAUGUACUUGUUGAAUAAAUGGUUAUAAAUAAAUGAAUGAAUGAUCCCCCCCCU
rnacentral:lncRNA from 1 species